AUUGAACGCUGGCGGCAGGCCUAACACAUGCAAGCCGAGCGGAUGAGUGGAGCUUGCUCCAUGAUUCAGCGGCGGACGGGUGAGUAAUGCCUAGGAAUCUGCCUGGUAGUGGGGGACAACGUUUCGAAAGGAACGCUAAUACCGCAUACGUCCUACGGGAGAAAGCAGGGGACCUUCGGGCCUUGCGCUAUCAGAUGAGCCUAGGUCGGAUUAGAUAGUAGGUGAGGUAAUGGCUCACCUAGGCGACGAUCCGUAACUGGUCUGAGAGGAUGAUCAGUCACACUGGAACUGAGACACGGUCCAGACUCCUACGGGAGGCAGCAGUGGGGAAUAUUGGACAAUGGGCGAAAGCCUGAUCCAGCCAUGCCGCGUGUGUGAAGAAGGUCUUCGGAUUGUAAAGCACUUUAAGUUGGGAGGAAGGGCAGUAAGCGAAUACCUUGCUGUUUUGACGUUACCGACAGAAUAAGCACCGGCUAACUCUGUGCCAGCCGCCGCCGUAAAAC
rnacentral:rRNA from 1 species